rnacentral:rRNA from 1 species
GCAGUCGCCGCGGGAAUACAGAGGGUGCGAGCGUUAAUCGGAUUUACUGGGCGUAAAGCGUGCGUAGGCGGCUUUUUAAGUCGGAUGUGAAAUCCCUGAGCUUAACUUAGGAAUUGCAUUCGAUACUGGGAAGCUAGAGUAUGGGAGAGGAUGGUAGAAUUCCAGGUGUAGCGGUGAAAUGCGUAGAGAUCUGGAGGAAUACCGAUGGCGAAGGCAGCCAUCUGGCCUAAUACUGACGCUGAGGUACGAAAGCAUGGGGAGCAAACAGGAUUAGAUACCCGGGUAGUCCCUGUCUCUUAUAC